rnacentral:tRNA from 2 species
GCGGCCAUGGCGGAACUGGUAGACGCGCAACGUUGAGGUCGUUGUAGGAGAAAUCCUGUGGAGGUUCAAGUCCUCUUGGCCGCACCA